rnacentral:rRNA from 1 species
GUGCCAGCAGCCGCGGUAAUACGAAGGGGGCUAGCGUUGCUCGGAAUUACUGGGCGUAAAGGGAGCGUAGGCGGACAUUUAAGUCGGGGGUGAAAUCCCGGGGCUCAACCUCGGAAUUGCCUUUGAUACUGGGUGUCUUGAGUAUGAGAGAGGUGUGUGGAACUCCGAGUGUAGAGGUGAAAUUCGUAGAUAUUCGGAAGAACACCAGUGGCGAAGGCGACACACUGGCUCAUUACUGACGCUGAGGCUCGAAAGCGUGGGGAGC